UACGAAGGGGGCUAGCGUUGUUCGGAAUUACUGGGCGUAAAGCGUGCGCAGGCGGCUUCUCAAGUCAGGGGUGAAAGCCCAGAGCUCAACUCUGGAAUUGCCUUUGAGACUGAGAGGCUUGAGUACGGGAGAGGUGAGUGGAAUUCCCAGUGAUAGAGGUGAAAUUCGUAGAUAUUGGGAAGAACACCAGUGGCGAAGGCGGCUCACUGGACCGUAACUGACGCUCAUGCACGACACGUGGGGGAUCAAACAGG
rnacentral:rRNA from 1 species